AAAAUAUGCUCCAUUAUUACUUGCUUUAUCGGGCCUUGCAAAGAACAUAGGAUGGCACCGAGGUACUCCCUCCUUUCUGCACUCUUUGUUUUCAGAUGGGUGUUUAAUGGUCAACCGAAUCUUUUCAUUGAACGGCCAUUGAAGAACGUCGUCGAUCACUCCCUUGUGCAGCUGAAUGCGAGGGCGCAUGUAAACAC